CCUACGGGUGGCAGCAGUGGGGAAUAUUGCACAAUGGGGGAAACCCUGAUGCAGCGACGCCGCGUGAGUGAAGAAGUAUUUCGGUAUGUAAAGCUCUGUCAGCAGGGAAGAAACUGACGGUACCUGACCACGAAGCCCCGGCUAACUACGUGCCCGCAGCCGCGGUAAUACGUAGGGGGCAAGCGUUAUCCGGAUGUACUGGGUAUAAAGGGAGCGUAGACGGCAGGGCAAGUCUGGAGUGAAAGGCGGGGGCUCAACCCCCGGACUGCUCUGGAAACUGCCAGGCUGGAGUGCAGGAGAGGUAAGAGGAAUUCCUAGGGUAGCGGUGAAAUGCGUAGAUAUUAGGAGGAACACCAGUGGCGAAGGCGGCUUACUGGACUGUAACUGACGUUGAGGCUCGAAAGCGUGGGGAGCAAACAGGAUUAGAUACCCCAGUAGUC
rnacentral:rRNA from 1 species